GACGAACGCUGGCGGCGUGCUUAACACAUGCAAGUCGAACGGAAAGGCCCUGCUUUUGUGGGGUGCUCGAGUGGCGAACGGGUGAGUAACACGUGAGUAACCUGCCCUUGACUUUGGGAUAACUUCAGGAAACUGGGGCUAAUACCGGAUAGGAGCUCCUGCUGCAUGGUGGGGGUUGGAAAGUUUCGGCGGUUGGGGAUGGACUCGCGGCUUAUCAGCUUGUUGGUGGGGUAGUGGCUUACCAAGGCUUUGACGGGUAGCCGGCCUGAGAGGGUGACCGGCCGCAUUGGGACUGAGAUACGGCCCAGACUCCUAUGGGAGGCAGCAGUGGGGAAUAUUGCACAAUGGGCGGAAGCCUGAUGCAGCAACGCCGCGUGCGGGAUGACGGCCUUCGGGUUGUAAACCGCUUUCGCCUGUGACGAAGCGUGAGUGACGGUAAUGGGUAAAGAAGCACCGGCUAACUACGUG
rnacentral:rRNA from 1 species